rnacentral:rRNA from 1 species
CCUACGGGAGGCAGCAGUGGGGAAUAUUGGGCAAUGGAGGAAACUCUGACCCAGCGACGCCGCGUGAGGGAUGAAGGCCUUCGGGUUGUAAACCUCUUUCAGUAGGGAAGAAGCGAAAGUGACGGUACCUACAGAAGAAGCGCCGGCUAACUAUGUGCCAGCAGCCGCGGUAAUACAUAGGGUGCAAGCGUUGUCCGGAAUUAUUGGGCGUAAAGAGCUCGUAGGUGGUUCGAUACGUCGGAUGUGAAAAUCAGGGGCUCAACCCCUGACCUGCAUCCGAUACGGUCGAGCUAGAGUUUGGUAGGGGAGACUGGAAUUCCUGGUGUAGCGGUGGAAUGCGCAGAUAUCAGGAGGAACACCGAUGGCGAAGGCAGGUCUCUGGGCCAAUACUGACACUGAGGAGCGAAAGCGUGGGGAGCGAACAGGAUUAGAUACCCUGGUAGUCCACGCCGUAAACGGUGGGCGCUAGUUGUGCGAACCUUCCACGGUUUGUGCGACGCAGCUAACGCAUUAAGCGCCCCGCCUGGGGAGUACGAUCGCAAGAUUAAAACUUAANGAAUUGACGG